rnacentral:rRNA from 1 species
AGGAGUGUGUAACAACUCACCUGCCGAAUCAACCAGCCCUGAAAAUGGAUGGCGCUGGAGCGUCCCACUUAUUCCGGACCGCUUGGGCAGUUGUUUUCAAAAAAAGAAGCCAAGCUCAAGCGAGUAGGAGGGCCGCUGUGGUGAGCGUCGAAGCCUGGGACGCGAGUCUGG